GAUGAACGCUGGCGGCGUGCUUAACACAUGCAAGUCGAACGAACCUUCGGGUUAGUGGCGGACGGGUGAGUAACGCGUGAGAAUCUGCCCUCAGGAGGGGGACAACAGCUGGAAACGGCUGCUAAUACCCCAUAUGCCGCGAGGUGAAAUGAAUUUCGCCUGAGGAUGAGCUCGCGUCUGAUUAGCUAGUUGGUGUAGGUAAUGGCUCACCAAGGCAUCGAUCAGUAGCUGGUCUGAGAGGAUGAUCAGCCACACUGGGACUGAGACACGGCCCAGACUCCUACGGGAGGCAGCAGUGGGGAAUUUUCCGCAAUGGGCGAAAGCCUGACGGAGCAACGCCGCGUGAGGGAUGAAGGCCUCUGGGCUGUAAACCUCUUUUAUCAAGGAAGAAGAUCUGACGGUACUUGAUGAAUAAGCCACGGCUAAUUCCGUGCCAGCCGCCGCCGUAACAC
rnacentral:rRNA from 1 species